GAGUAUCUAGGUUAAUAAAAUUAUUAAAUUUGUGAAUUUUUAUCAUGUGAGAUCAAGAUUUACAAAAUUCGGCCUAGAUUGGGGAAAAACGAAUCAAGUGGAUUAAGUCGAGCUAGUCGACUACAUUUUGUAAUCCGAGGUAAUUUGUGUGUAAAUAAUACAACUACGUUGUUAUUAUAUGUGUUGAAUUGAUAUAGCAUGAAAUGUUUGAUGGUGAAAAUGAGAAUGCAUGAUGAUAAAUGAGUUAGUAGAAUUCCC
rnacentral:lncRNA from 1 species